rnacentral:rRNA from 1 species
UUCAUGGAGAGUUUGAUCCUGGCUCAGGACGAACGCUGGCGGCGUGCCUAAUACAUGCAAGUCGAGCGGACAGAUGGGAGCUUGCUCCCUGAUGUCAGCGGCGGACGGGUGAGUAACACGUGGGUAACCUGCCUGUAAGACUGGGAUAACUCCGGGAAACCGGGGCUAAUACCGGAUGCUUGAUUGAACCGCAUGGUUCAAUUAUAAAAGGUGGCUUUUAGCUACCACUUACAGAUGGACCCGCGGCGCAUUAGCUAGUUGGUGAGGUAACGGCUCACCAAGGC